UACGUAGGGGGCAAGCGUUGUCCGGAUUUAUUGGGCGUAAAGAGCUCGUAGGCGGCUCACUAAGUCGGAUGUGAAAACUCCAGGCUCAACCUGGAGACGCCAUUCGAUACUGGUGUGGCUUGAGUUCGGUAGGGGAGCACGGAAUUCCUGGUGUAGCGGUGAAAUGUGCAGAUAUCAGGAAGAACACCCGUGGCGAAGGCGGCUCUCGUGGGACGGUACUGACGCUGAGACGCGAAAGCGUGGAGAAGCAACGAGG
rnacentral:rRNA from 1 species